rnacentral:misc_RNA from 1 species
AAGUCGUAACAAGGUUUCCGUAAACGCACCUGCGGGAAUACUUGUGCACCAGUCCCCCCAGGGGCGAGGGAUGCAGUCUGCUGGAACGAAUACUCGAACCAGCAGCCACGCCCCGGGCGUGGUCCACAGACUAAAUGCGUCUCGUUGUUCCCAGGGGGACAAUUUUGAUAUAGUCGGUUCCAGCGGUAAUACGUCCCUGGAGUCAUCGAGGUGAACCUGCGGAAGGAUCAUUAAAAGAGACAGUAUCGCAGCCACAAGCUGCGACACAUCUCCACCCAUUGUCUGUUAUACAUCUGUUGCUUUGGCGGGCCCGGGGCGAAAGCCCCCGCUGGCUACCUGCUAGUUAGUGCCCGCCGAAGGCCAAUACCUAAAACUCUGAAGUAAACCAUGAAGUCUGAACAAUUACUAUGAAAAUAGCCUAAAACUUUCAACAACGGAUCUCUUGGUUCUG